GAUCCCGCGUUGAAAGUUAUUUGGUGAGAUUUGCAAAAUGAAAUAAAAAAAAACGUUUCGCUAUUCUGAGAAAUACCAACUUUGAGAAUAAUGUCUCGAAGUUGGAUCCCAGUUCGAAACCCUUUUGGAAAUUAACGAAAAUCCCUAAAAAAAACCUCAAAAGCCAAUUCCAGCGCUUAAAGAGGGAAAUACGAUUUUAUUAACAAAUGGCGAAAAGGCUCAAAAACUUGCAAAACAAAAAAGCAGUUCGAGAGUGCCCAUAAUUUUAGUCUAGGUCUCACUAGUCCAAUUGAGGAUCAAGUUACACGGAGCUUCGAAGACAUUCUCAAUCAAGAGAAUGUUUUUGACCCAACACUUUUUGACGUUGGGAACUAAUCUGGAUGAAGUGAGAUCUAUUACCGUAUUACCGUAUCGAACGACUAUUAUCUAUUAUUAUCUCGAUUGAAAUGACACCAUGUAUAAUAAAGAAGGACGUAAAUAUUACGUCAAAAUAAUCGCAACCUGUGCAUCUCACCCAUUUUACACUGCUCAUAGAACAAACUUUAAUGUUCUGAUUGUUCCAGAAGUACGUAUUGAAGUCAACAUUUUACCGUUGUUAAUUCAAGUCAAAAUAAUUCAGUUAUGCAUUUUAAAAACUCAUUAGCAAAUCUGCUAGAACUAGUAAACUUUACUCUCAAUAUUACCACUGUUUAAAGCUACCACAUCUGAUGUAGGUCAUAUUCUAUAUAAACGAUGAACACUAUUACAAACAGCGACCUACUGUUCAGAAUGCAGUGUUUAAAUUUCGUGAUUCUCCUGUUAAUAGUGCAAUUGAGCUUCUCAUCAAUAUGCGAAGCAGCCCCCAAAGCCAAACCUGGCGACAACUAUAAAAGAAUUUGCCAAGUAACAAAAUGGUCAUCCGGAUUUUUUUGUCCUCUGGGAAAGUGAGGCAUGUUGUUUGAAAUAAAAGUUAAAAGACAUCAGGUGUGUGAAUAACAACGAACGGGAUGUGCAGAUUUGGACCCAAAUACAGUUAAAGGUAUUUGAAAUGAAUUCGGGUGGGAAAGACGUUAUUAUUACUAUUUGGAAUAAACCGGAGUUAUUGGUAAUUGUUGCCAUACAUAAA